rnacentral:tRNA from 3 species
AGUCUUAUAUUCAAUAAUGAUUUAAAAUUGCAAAUUUUAAGGUGUAAAUAUACUAAGGCUU